UUCGCCCAGGGAAAGGUUGGGGGAAAGCCUUCCAGGAGGGAGUGGCACCUGCAAAGGCAGAGAAGCCCCAAAGGCAGGCCCUGAGCUGGGAAGCGCUCAGCCAGAGUGUGCCUGGGGGAGAAGGUGGAGGGAACGAGGGAAGGCUGGCCAAAGGGUGGAGAAGAACUGGCUCUGAAAAGUUUGGUCUCUAAAGUCUUGAUUUCAAACAAGAAGAACAGACAGUUCCAGCUUCUAAAUACUGGCAGAGAAGAACAGCUACUCUUUUUAGAGAGAGAAGAAAACACACCACCCACCACACACAACUUUCGGCCACAUUUUUGCCAGCAGCAUUCAAAACAAUUCCUGUGAAUUAGCCAAGGGAGCGCUCAGAAGGCUUUCACAUUGUGCAGUCUAACUGAGGAAUAAUUCCCAGCCCAAGUCUCGAAUUCCGUGGACCAAGCAGACCACAGCUCCCCUGGAGUUUGCAGGCUGGACUCGCUACAUGAGCAAGUCACAACUGGAAAAAUACAAAAAGAUGCUUGAUCUCUGUAGUAAGCAAAGGAAAGCACAUAUAAAACACCAAUGAGAUACUGUUUUCACUUAGGGGAUUCACUGAGAUUGAAAAAAAAAUAACUCCCCGUGUGGGCAACAUUAUGGAGGAUAAAGAAUUUACAAACACGAAGGAUGGGCGCUUGGCAACACACACAAACGUGGAAACAUGCCCAUGACCCACCCACAUCGCUGCGGGAAUGCAUCCUAAGGAGAUGAUCAGACAGGCUCGGAAAUAGAGUUACCCACGAUGGACCGCUGAAUGAAGAAAACAAGGUCAUGAGCAACCAGGACGGGGUCGACUUGCUUUCUGAAAACGGUGCGUGUGGAUGUGCACACCCACGCGCUGGGAGACGCCGGAGAGCCGCACACCCAAAUGUUACCUCUCUCCGUGGGGUGCCUUAAACCUACCAUUUCCUUUGCAUUUUCAUUUUUUUUUAAUUCAGAAAAAACAAUAAUGAUGUUUAUUUUUGUCUCAGGGGAAAAAUAAUCCCAAACCACUGGACUAAUCUGCGUCUUCACACUGUGACCAGUAAACCCCACGGAUCUGAUCCACUUUGGUUCUGGGGAGGUCUUUACCAGGACGACAGACAGCGUCUUUACCACCAGGACAACAGCACCAAGAAUCAGUAACAGCUGGAGUGGGCGCGGGGCGACGAAAAUCCCCAGAGACGGGGUGGAUUUAGCUGGAGAGUCUAAAAGAAAAACUGAGUCACACGGAGGCCAAGAGGCUCACACAAUGGCAUUUCAGACCCAGAGCUUGAGACGGAGCUCCCAACCCAAAACUCAGUCCCGAGUCCACCGUUUCAUUUCCCUUCGCAAUCCAAACCACGUGUGUGCCCGGAGGCCGGCCGGCAGUGUCCCAAAGGACUGACCCGACUCGCCUGCCCGGCCAGGCAGCAGAAGAGCUUUGGGCUUUUAAACUUCUGAGUGCCCAGGAGUGACUAACCUACAUUUUUUCUAGUUUAAAACACAUUCAAUGAUGCAAAAGUUCUCGUAACAGGCAUGCCACCUACAUAGCACCACAAAUAGUAGUGACUAUGGCCCAUUUUUCUAAUCUUUUUUAUUACUUUACGAGUAAUUUCUUUGUCAGGAGCGCAUUACCGCUGUAGUCAACACUUCAGAAUAGCGUUUGGACCCAUGGAAGUGGUAAUGAGAAGGGAUCACACAUUUGCUUGUUUGUUUAACAUCAUGGGUGGUUCUCAUGUUGUGUACAUGUGACUUAAGUAUGCUUCUUAGAGGCCCGUGAGCUGGGGGCACCCCACGUGGUCUCACCAGUUGGGUGGCCUGAGCUGCUCAGAAACCUAUGAACAGAAGCAUAGCUCUGUGGACAUGGGGAAAUUCUUCCUGAACUGUUCUCCUAAAGUGGCAACUUUUCAGGAAAAAUGUAAGCGUCCUGUUGACAAUUCCAUGCUCUUCUCCCCUUGCUGUGACAAUCGAAUCUGACAAUGACCCAGACCCCCCCCCCAGCACCCCACUCUCUCUGUUAUCAUAACUUGUCUCCACGUCUGCUUCCGAGUUUUUGUCCUCUCUGCUGCUGACCCAACAGCUGCCUGGAAACCCACUUUCUUCAACCCUGGUCUUUGACACCACCUUGCCCAGUGCAGGUCUAAGUCCCCCAUGGCAGACCUGGCUGUGGUGGGUGGAAGGGACAGGAGAAAAUGUGGGCACACCUCGGAGAAGCACUCCGGCCCCACCUCCAGCCCUUCUCACGGGCCCUCCCCUCUGCUACCCAUCUCUGCACCGGCACGUGCACAGGCCUAGCCCAGGUCCUGGGACUGAACACCAAGGAGGCUACUCUGCUGGCUCAUGGUCUCAUGAACGUGCAGAUAAAGAUGACUUCAAUCCUUUCUGAAUACUCUGUUACCAUCGAUGCAUCACUUUAUCUUCCCCUGUGGGGCCAAAGUGGGCAGCCAUAGUUUGUCUUCUAAACCUUUUAAAGGGAAAGGGAGUGCUAAUGGCUAUUAUGCUGAGGUGCCAGGCACAGAAAAACGACUGACCUCUGAGAUGGGGGUGUGGGUUCAUCCUAGGUCUAAGGGAGCAACGCAACACAAGGACAGGCUAGGGAAGAGCCCAGAGGGGGCUGUUUUGCUCUCA